rnacentral:lncRNA from 1 species
AUUAGUAAGUGUAAUAAAGUUAAGUAGUCUGUUGACCCUUCCAUGACAUGAUUGUUGUUUGGAUGACUGUAGUCAGUGGAGAUGGUCAGGCUGAAAGUGUUAAAUGCCCCAUCGUAAAACCGGACGGCAUAGUUUAGCGGUGUUGAUGUUUUGUCUGCAAGAAGAAUGUGAACCUUGCCAUAUGACAAACAUUUGGCUCUUUUCUUCAAAAAUGCUUUCUUGCUAGGUUGGAGUUCAAAAACAACAUAGAACAAAGACCGUUCCAUCAUCCAAUGGGACUGGAAGGAGAAGAUGAGGUCAUUCAAUCAGAGGACAACAUAGGAGUGGAUUAGCAUCAAUCAUUUGCCUAUUUGUUUCUAUAAAAGACUGGGUCAAGGGAUAGUUAGGCUGUCAGACUUCAUGCCUUGACAAUUGACUUUGUUGUAGAGUUUUGAACUGGCCCGGAGCUCUGUAAUAUUUGUAUCUUGAAUGGAUUCUAUUUGCUAAAUACAUUUUGAAAUCGGCAUUUUUUUCCUCAGUCUUCAUUCAUUGAACACGCGGAUCGGCAGUGACACACUCGAGAAUAUUGAUCCAACAUCUCUUAGAAUUAACGGCUGGUAAUAAUUCCAGUUAUGCCAUUGCAGUCUUAAACAAAUGACCACAAUAUUAUGAUGAUCUGGCUGUGGUACUACAUAAAGACAAAUUGGGGAAGCUUUAUUGUUAUGGUUUUUGUCUAACGUGCUUUCAAGCAAGCGCGCUUAGUUUGGCGUUGCUAUGGUAACAGAGAAACGAAACAAAAAAGCUCGGAGCGGUUGUUGGGAAUGUUGACCGAUGAAAAUAAAGAAAACACCACCACCAGAUUAAAUGGAAUAUGAUUAACAGGACGUCACUUCACUUGCUGACCAAUAUUAACACCCAUGCAGUCUCUUUCACAUCUUUACGUGUCCACUCCAAGUCCUCUCGGGUUGUCAACGUUUCGGUGUCAGGUCUCCACCAGAGUACAAGACGCUCCAUGAUCGGCACUGCAAACAAAAGUUUCAGGAAUCUGGAAAGAGCAAGUACACUUAUGGAUAAGAGCGUGACGCAAUCCGUGAGCCAGCAAGCCGUGCGGGUAUUUGAUAAGGAUGGAAAUGACAUCACUCCUCAACCACUGUACCCAGUGAGGCACUCAGCUGCUGCAGUUCAAUGCCACAAGUUUUCCAGGUUCCUGGAUGAGAUAUCUGUGGGAGCAGCGUCCGAGACGUCGGGAGACAGCAUCUGCUCCAUACCUUUCUCCCGGUGAGCACUGCGAAUCACUCCAUUAAUCAUGAUCCCCAUUAUAACGAUCCCCAUCCGUUUGUCUUGUUCAUUGUUCGUCAUUUACUGUAAAUCUACAAAUUGACUAAAUGUCGCAGUAUU